rnacentral:rRNA from 1 species
AUUGAACGCUGGCGGCAGGCCUAACACAUGCAAGUCGAGCGGAUGAAGGGAGCUUGCUCCUGGAUUCAGCGGCGGACGGGUGAGUAAUGCCUAGGAAUCUGCCUGGUAGUGGGGGAUAACGUCCGGAAACGGGCGCUAAUACCGCAUACGUCCUGAGGGAGAAAGUGGGGGAUCUUCGGACCUCACGCUAUCAGAUGAGCCUAGGUCGGAUUAGCUAGUUGGUGGGGUAAAGGCCUACCAAGGCGACGAUCCGUAACUGGUCUGAGAGGAUGAUCAGUCGCACUGGAACUGAGACACGGUCCAGACUCCUACGGGAGGCAGCAGUGGGGAAUAUUGGACAAUGGGCGAAAGCCUGAUCCAGCCAUGCCGCGUGUAUGAAGAAGGUCUUCGGAUUGUAAAGCACUUUAAGUUGGGAGGAAGGGCAGUAAGUUAAUACCUUGCUGUUUUGACGUUACCAACAGAAUAAGCACCGGCUAACUUCGUG